UUUAUGGACAGUGUGGAUAUAAUACGUAGUAUAUCUGAAGAAUACGUGAGUAGAAUAGUAUAUGUACAGCAAUAGUUGAAUAGCAUGGCCUUGACUAGAAUACAGAAUAUACAUAUGAAAUGGGGAAAAUAGUAUUAAAUAUUUAUUAAAGUGACCAGUGUUCCAUGUCUAUGUACAUGGGGCAUCAGCCUCUAAGGUGCAGGGAUGAGUAACCGGGUGAUAGCCAGCUAGUGACUUAGUUCAGGGCAUGAUACUGGGUGGAGGCCGGCUAGUGAUGGCUAUUUAAGUCUGAUUGUCUUGAGAUAGAAGCUGUUUUUCAGUCUCUUGGUCCCAGUUUGGAUGCACCUGUACUAACCUCGCCUUCUGGAUGAUAGUAGGGUGAACAAUCCGUGGCUUAUUUGGCUGAGGUCCUUGAUUAUGUAAUUGGCCUUCCUGUGACACUGGGUGCUGUAGAUAUCCUGAAGGGCAGGCAGUGUGAUAUGUUGGGCUGACCGCACCACCCUCUGGAUAGCCCUGCGGUUGUGUGCGGUGCAUUUGCCUUACCAGGCAAUGCUACAGCCCGACAAGAUGUAGGCAAUGAUACAGCCUGACAAGAUGCUCUCCAUGGUGCAUCGGUAAAAAUGUGGGGGUCUUAGGGGCCAAAUUUCUUCAACCUCCUGUUGCGCCUUGUUCACCACAUCGUCUGUAUGAGUGGACCAUUUCAGAUUGUCAGUGAUGUGUAUGUUGAGGAACUUUAAGCUUUUCACCUUCUCCACUGCGGCCCCAUCGAUGUGGAUGGGUGCGUGCUCCCUCUGCUCUCUCCUGAAGCCACCAUCAGCUCCUUCGGUUUGUUGAGGUUAUUUUCCUAGCACCACUCCACCAAGGCACUCACCUCCUUCCUGUAGGCUGUCUCGUCAUUUAGGAAUGAAUGGAAUUCUACAGUAUUUCAAUUAAAUGACAUUAAUUUAAGUAUUCUGUAGUAGGGACAUAGAUUUCAGUAAUCUCUAAAAAAUUAUACUUCAGGGAAAAAAUGGUUUUGUAUGUUUAGCUCACAUAAUAUAAUUUAAAAGUAUGCAUUAAGGUGUCUGUAAUAUGAUAAACGUGUCACAAACAAAUGUAGUCAUUAAUAAAUGAAUUUCUAUUGCUUCCAAAAUAUUUUUUACAAUAUAAUAAAAUUCCUUAUUAGUCAUCUAGUAUAGCCUAUAUAUAAAUCAUUGGUGAUUACAGAGUCACGUGUGAAAACUUGUGCUAAUAAGUGAAUAGCCAUCUUAAAAUACAACCUGACCCAUUGCAUUUAGGCCAAUCUGGAAUCAAUAUGUCCCAAAGUAGUCCUAAUGAUUCUGGGAUUUACCCUCAAAUAGUUGCAGCUCUAUUCUAAUGAGGCUAUUCAGUAUUAAAAUAUUCUGACAAUCCGAGUAAUAAUGAUCAAAUCUUGCCAUAAUAAACAGUGAAUAAAAUACCACAACACUCUAGAUGCACAAAUUCAACAAUCUGAGGUAUAAUAACUGGAAUAUAGAGGAAGUUGUACUGAUUAGUGAAGCGUUUCUGUGUCAACAGAACAAUAGGUCAUGUUAAGAGAGACUACAUUCCUGACAUUUUUCCUGCUUGUAAGUAAAGUUAAUAAAGAUUACUGGGGUGCUAAAUUCAUGCAGCUUUGUCCUCUCCUCCCUUUAGAACCAUAAAAGUCAAUGUAAAAAAAAAAAAAGUGUAAUAUUUUAUGGUCAAAUUGUGAGACUGUUUAACCCUUUCAUGCGUGAGUUCCAAAUAUCUCUUAACGGUCGCCCCAGCGUGAGUUUUUUUUAUACACGUGAUGUUAGAACGUUCUCUCCAUUCCAGAAUGUGAUUAUGUAACAGUACAUUUCAUCCGCGCUGCCCUCAAACCAAAGCACGCAGCCUGUUUUUAUUUGUCAAUUUGAAAUUAUUUUCUAACAAGUUUUUUAUUUUCUAAUAACAGUUUGAAAUGAGGUGUGUUCCGCGUCACAACAGACACCCAUCUUCAAAUCCAGACUGCGUUUCUAUCAAAGUGGUCCACCUUCCCUGUGGCCGACAUGGUUGCUGUAUGGACAGUGGAGAGGACAUGGACGUCUCGUUUGUUAUGGCACUUUACUGCCAGCUGUUAACAUUUCUUAUUUUGUAUAAUGGGUCAUUUAGGAUGGUAGUAGCGUUGAUGAAAUGCAGUCAUAGCAGCAGAACUAGAAAGCAGUCUUUACUGUCACCAGGAAUGUAUACAUUUCACUAAUUGUGGUUGUCCCCCACUCCUGGCUCUCUCUUAUCCUGUAGCUCCAAGGCAUAGCGAUUGGUCUCUACUAUCUCCCACCAGCUCCUCUGUCAGAAACAACUUGAAGCACUCUGACUCAGUUGGAAAUGGCAAGGGGUGUUGCACUCCAGACAAGGACUCGUCAAAGCAAACAGCAGGGCCAGGAGGGGUGAAAUGACUGGUGGCCUUCCAGCUACCACAGAACUCCUGUACUUCAUCCACUGUUGGUAUACCUCCAUCACACACCAGCAUCUUUAAAGGCACCUGGGACUUCGUCAGUGGAAAUGCAGAUUCAGGGUUCUCAAUGGCUACAAGAUUGGGGGGCAGCUCCUCAUUGUCAGAAUCUGAUUCCUGACUUUCAUACUCCGACUCAUUGUCAGAAUUGUAAAAAAUCUCCAGAAUGUUCUCAUUUGUUUGUUGUCUCCUUUUGAAAGACAUUGCUAAUGCUUCAGCUUAGCUCACUAGCUACAUACAUAAACAACAACACUGAAUGGUUUAGAGUGAGAGAGUACGUGGUUGAAUGCCGGCACGCGCCACUUGUAUCAGAAAAUGUUUUGUGGCAAUUAUUUGUGUAUUUACGGUUUUAUUCACAUGUUUUCAAAUCUAGGUGACAAAUCAUGCAUUCCGACUCUUGCACAUAUAUUAUGUGUGUAAAAUGCUUUUUUUGAAGGUUGUACUGAUUAUGAUGAGCUAAGCUAUUUCCAGCUGUGUAGCCAUGUUUGUUGACAUUCAAUGUAUUCUGGGUUCACGUAAUCGUCUGUUUGACCAAAGAUGUUAUAACAAAAUGAGGUGAGUAAGAGUUCACUCAUUUUGAGGACUUCCGGAACGAAAUGGUGGGAUGUGAACGACGGUAGAUGACACACCCCUUAAACAUGCAUACUAUAAACAGACCAAACUCAUCUUGUCUUAUUAUCUUCGGUUUCUGUGAGGAAAAAAUGCAUGGCUGCUCGAUGAAACUAAUCGUCUUACGAUUUCUAAAAAGUGCUUUACCUAAUUAUUUCGAACAAUGGUAAACUCACCCGUGAUGUGAUUAAUUAUACAUAGUAAUUGCUAUUAGCUAAUUCAUAUUGUAGUUUAUGUCAGCUGAGAGUUAGAAAAUAUGACUGCUUGUGUUGGGUCAAUCUUUCCUCAGUUAGCGCUAGGACAAAUGUAGCCUACAUUUUUCCGGUUAGGAUGAUUGUGUUAUGCUAUAUAUACUUCUGUGAAUAUCUUAACAUUGAAUCCAAAAAUAAACUGCUCACAUUCUGGACAUAACUUUAA